UACAGAGGGUGCAAGCGUUAAUCGGAAUUACUGGGCGUAAAGCGUGCGUAGACGGUCAUGUAAGUCGGGUGUGAAAGCCCCGGGCUCAACCUGGGAAUGCCAUUCGAGACUGCAUAGCUAGGGUGCGGAAGAGGGAAGCGGAAUUUCCGGUGUAGCGGUGAAAUGCGUAGAUAUCGGAAGGAACACCAGUGGCGAAAGCGGCUUCCUGGUCCAGCACCGACGUUCAGGCACGAAAGCGUGGGGAGCAAACAGG
rnacentral:rRNA from 1 species